rnacentral:rRNA from 1 species
GCAUAACGCGAAGAACCUUACCUAGGCUUGACAUGCAUCUCUAAGCACGUGAAAGCGUGUGACCCUUCGGGGAAUUUGCACAGGUGCUGCAUGGCCGUCGUCAGCUCGUGUCGUGAGAUGUUGGGUUAAGUCCCGCAACGAGCGCAACCCUUGUGACUAGUUGCCAGCACGUUAUGGUGGGAACUCUAGUCAGACUGCCCAGAUCAACUGGGAGGAAGGUGGGGACGACGUCAGGUCAGUAUGGCCCUUACGCCUAGGGCUGCACACGUACUACAAUGCCCAGCACAAUGAGAACCGAGACCGCGAGGUGGAGGAAAUCUAAAAACUGGGCCCAGUUCGGAUUGGAGGCUGCAACUCGCCUCCAUGAAGUUGGAAUCGCUAGUAAUGGCGCAUCAUCUACGGCGCCGUGAAUACGUUCCCGGGUCUUGUACACACCG